GCGGGCGUGGUGGAAUUGGUAGACACGCUAGACUUAGGAUCUAGUGCCUUACGGUGUGAGAGUUCGAGUCUCUCCGCCCGCACAA
rnacentral:tRNA from 6 species